CGCCACUGUGGUGGAUUCUACACUUUAAAUCCUUUAACAAGGACCAAUUGGAGGGCAAGUCUGGUGCCAGCAGCCGCGGUAAUUCCAGCUCCAAUAGCGUAUAUUAAAGUUGUUGCGGUUAAAACGUUCGUAGUUGAACUUGUGCUUCAUACGGGUAGUACAACUUACAAUUGUGGUUAGUACUAUACCUUUAUGUAUGUAAGCGUAUUACCGGUGGAGUUCUUAUAUGUGAUUAAAUACUUGUAUUUUUUCAUAUGUUCCUCCUAUUUAAAAACCUGCACUAGUGCUCUUAAACGAGUGUUAUUGUGGGCCGGUACUAUUACUUUGAACAAAUUAGAGUGCUUAAAGCAGGCUUCAAAUGCCUGAAUAUUCUGUGCAUGGGAUAAUGAAAUAAGACCUCUGUUCUGCUUUCAUUGGUUUUCAGAUCAAGAGGUAAUGAUUAAUAGAAGCAGUUUGGGGGCAUUAGUAUUACGACGCGAGAGGUGAUAUUCUUGGACCGUCGUAAGACUAACUUAAGCGAAAGCAUUUGCCAAAGAUGUUUUCAUUAAUCAAGAACGAAAGUUAGAGGUUCGAAGGCGAUCAGAUACCGCCCUAGUUCUAACCAUAAACGAUGCCAGCUAGCAAUUGGGUGUAGCUACUUUUAUGGGCUCUCUCAUCGCUUCCGGGGAAACCCAAGCUUUUGGGCUCCGGGGGGAAAAAGUAUGGGUGCCAUCUGAAACUUAAAGGAAUUGAUGGAAGGGCUCUCUAGGAUGGAGUCUUCUGCUUAUUUGACUUACACGGGGAAAACUUACCA
rnacentral:ncRNA from 1 species